rnacentral:rRNA from 1 species
UACGUAGGGAGCAAGCGUUGUCCGGAAUCAUUGGGCGUAAAGCGCGCGUAGGUGGCUUCGUAAGUCCGUUGUGAAAGUCAAAGGCUCAACCUUUGAAAGCCGAUGGAUACUGCGGAGCUAGAGUACGGAAGAGGCGAGUGGAAUUCCUGGUGUAGCGGUGGAAUGCGUAGAGAUAUGGAGGAACACCAGUGGCGAAGGCGACUUUCUGGUCUGUAACUGACACUGAGGCGCGAAAGCGUGGGGAGCAAACAGG